rnacentral:lncRNA from 1 species
AUGGCAUUUCCCCAUCCUGGGAAUCACAGGGGACACUUUGGAAGUGGGGACAGCCUGGGGACGUGGUGCUGGCACAGCUCGGUGCCCCAGGGGCACUGCAUGUCCUGCGGGGCGCAGCGUGGCUGGCAGCCGGGUGUCCCCACACGCAGCACCUUGAUGUGCCCGGUGGCACGGAGGGGAUGGGACGGGGGGGGGACCAUGCAGCAGUGGGGUCGGGCUGUCCCCAGGCGUGCUGCGUCCCCCUGCUGCGCCCCGGUGCUGUGCCCGGGGCUCGGUGCAGCCCCCACAACGCACCCCAGCGUGGUACCCCAGGCGUUGCAGUGGGUCUGCAGCCAGGUGUGGUGCCCCCCAGCACAGCACCCAUACCUGGUGCCCCCCAGCGCUGCGCCCAGCUGUCCCUGCGCUCUGGCACUGCUCCCCUGGGUGCUGCCGCCUGUGGCAGGGUCCCCAAGCCGGCAGCUGCAGGAGCAGGGCCCAGGACUUUCCUCCGCUCCCCUGGGUGUGUUCGUGCCGCCUGCUGAGGGACCCCAACGUCCCUCCAGGAGUGGGGACAGGCAGCUGGCCAGGCUGGGGGCCCCGUGUGCCGCCCCGGCGGUGGCACCAAGCGCUGCCCGCCCGUCGGAGCACGCCGUGUGCCAGCACCCGCCCGUGCCCCCCUGGCAGCCCCUCACACCGCCCGUCUGUGCCCGCCGCAGGUCUGGUCCAUUUCGAGAUCCCGUCCAUCCACCUCGGCGUCGAUGCCGCCCUGUGCCGGGACCCGCCGGACGCCGCGCAGAGACUGUCGGUGAAAGCCCCCCCGGAGGAGGAGGAGGACUCGGAGAGCACGGCCCUAUGACAGCGUCCCCUCCCCGCCCGUCCCCGCGGCACCCGGCCAGUGCUCGGGGGACUUGGUUGCUCCUUGGUUGGGUUGGGUUGGGUUGGGGUCGCCUUAUCCAGACUUUGCCUUGUGACUCGGUGCCUAUGUCCCCCCCGGCAGGCGCCCACGUCCCGGGGCGCAUCCGGCGUCCCCGCGGUGCCACCGGGGCUGGAGAGGUGCCAGCGGCCCCGUCCUCCCCCCAAAACAGGGCACGGGGGGCACCACACGGGUGGCGUUGCUCCGGGGUCUCGUCUCUUUGCUUCGGCCCCGCCGUGCGCUCGCUGUGGCCGAGCGGGGCUGGGGGAGGCCGGCCCAGCAGCAAUAAGGCGAGUGCUGGGGGGGGGACGCGUCCCCGUGCCCCGCCUGCAGCCCCCGCUCGCUGUCGUGGUGGGUUGGUGGCGUGGAGCAGAGGCUUUGGUUGUGCAUGCAGAGACAAAGUAACCUUUUAUCCUUUUCAGAGAGAUGGUAUAUAUAUAUAUCUGGUGGGCAUAGAUAUAUAUAUAUUAUAUAUUUGUACAUAG